ACUGCCUUACUAUCUCCACUUCCACGGCCAUCCCACCAUCUUCAGCCAUGGUCUACAUCCUAGAUCAGAAUCCCAACCUCAGAGACCUCAAGAGCCUCCACACCCGCCUGUCAGCCAUCUCUCUCUCCCACUCCCAUUUACUUUAUACACUGCUAUGAGAACAAAUUCCUAAGUAUGUCUGUCUCUCGAAAGCCCUACAACAAGGGCUUCUGUUUGCCUGAAACAAGCUGGAACUGCGGACCCAACCCCUGUGGCCUUCUCCCUCACGCACCUUGUGUUUAACCUGUGGCUAAGUCUGGCUGCUCUCAAAAUAAGUAUCUACAACACUGCUUGGCACACAGCAGAUGAGCAGAAGUUCUGGAUGAAUUAAUGAAGAAAUGAACCAUUCUCAGCAUCUAACCCAGUCUUGGCAAACAACAGACACCAAGUAAAUGUCGCCUCCAUGAAUUCUGUCUUGUAUGGUUAGGAAUGAACCCAGUGGGCCUCAGACACGUUAGGAGAAGAGUUAACCACUGUUCCACUGAGCUGCGUGCACCCCAGCCCAGGAGUCUGCACUGCGUCGUACAGCACGCACACACGCCUCCUCCAAGGAGAAGCAGCCCCUCGCAGUGGUCAAGGUCACUACGCUGUCAGAGCUCUGCAUUCAGAUCCCAUCUCUGCAAUUAUUUAAUCUCUGUUCACUUCAGCUUUCUCCUUAGGAGAUGGGUAAAGCUGUCAUACAAAGCAGUCUGUUUCCUUCACAGCAGACUGGCGAAUUAGCUGAAUUCUUU